GGAGCGGCCGAUGUCUGAUUAGCUAGUUGGUGAGGUAAUGGCUGAGCAAGGCGACGAUCAGUAGUUGGUCUGAGAGGACGACCAACCACACUGGGACUGAGACACGGCCCAGACUCCUACGGGAGGCAGCAGUGGGGAAUUUUGGACAAUGGGCGCAAGCCUGAUCCAGCCAUGCCGCGUGAGUGAAGAAGGCCUUCGGGUUGUAAAGCUCUUUCAGUCGGGAAGAAACGAUUGCAACUAAUAAUUGUAAUUAAUGACGGUACCGACAGAAGAAGCACCGGCUAACUACGUGCCAGCAGCCGCGGUAAUACGUAGGGUGCGAGCGUUAAUCGGAAUUACUGGGCGUAAAGGGUGCGCAGGCGGUUUUGUAAGUCAGAUGUGAAAUCCCCGGGCUUAACCUGGGAAU
rnacentral:rRNA from 1 species